CAUGCAGUCGAGCGGACCGACGGGAGCUUGCUCCCUUAGGUCAGCGGCGGACGGGUGAGUAACACGUGGGUAACCUGCCUGUAAGACUGGGAUAACUCCGGGAAACCGGGGCUAAUACCGGAUGCUUGAUUGAACCGCAUGGUUCAAUCAUAAAAGGUGGCUUUUAGCUACCACUURCAGAUGGACCCGCGGCGCAUUAGCUAGUUGGUGAGGUAACGGCUCACCAAGGCGACGAUGCGUAGCCGACCUGAGAGGGUGAUCGGCCACACUGGGACUGAGACACGGCCCAGACUCCUACGGGAGGCAGCAGUAGGGAAUCUUCCGCAAUGGACGAAAGUCUGACGGAGCAACGCCGCGUGAGUGAUGAAGGUUUUCGGAUCGUAAAACUCUGUUGUUAGGGAAGAACAAGUACCGUUCGAAUAGGGCGGUACCUUGACGGUACCUAACCAGAAAGCCACGGCUAACUACGUGCCAGCAGCCGCGGUAAUACGUAGGUGGCAAGCGUUGUCCGGAAUUAUUGGGCGUAAAGCGCGCGCAGGCGGUUUCUUAAGUCUGAUGUGAAAGCCCCCGGCUCAACCGGGGAGGGUCAUUGGAAACUGGGGAACUUGAGUGCAGAAGAGGAGAGUGGAAUUCCACGUGUAGCGGUGAAAUGCGUAGAGAUGUGGAGGAACACCAGUGGCGAAGGCGACUCUCUGGUCUGUAACUGACGCUGAGGCGCGAAAGCGUGGGGAGCGAACAGGAUUAGAUACCCUGGUAGUCCACGCCGUAAACGAUGAGUGCUAAGUGUUAGAGGGUUUCCGCCCUUUAGUGCUGCAGCAAACGCAUUAAGCACUCCGCCUGGGGAGUACGGUCGCAAGACUGAAACUCAAAGGAAUUGACGGGGGCCCGCACAAGCGGUGGAGCAUGUGGUUUAAUUCGAAGCAACGCGAAAAACCUUACCAGGUCUUGACAUCCUCUGACAACCCUAGAGAUAGGGCUUCCCCUUCGGGGGCAGAAUGACAGGGGUGCAUGGUUGUCUUCACCUCCUGUCGUGAGAUGUUGGGUUAAUUCCCGCAACAASCGCACCCUUGAUCUUAUUUG
rnacentral:rRNA from 1 species